UACAGGGGGUGCAAACGUUGCUCGGAAUCAUUGGGCGUAAAGAGCUCGUAGGCGGCCACUCAAGUCGAAUGUGAAACCUCGAGGCUUAACCUCGAGCCUGCAUUCGAUACUGGGCGGCUAGAGUCUGGUAGGGAGAUCUGGAAUUCCUGGUGUAGCGGUGGAAUGCGCAGAUAUCAGGAGGAACACCGAUGGCGAAGGCAGCUCGCUGGGACGGUACUGACGCUGAGGCGCGAAAGCGUGGGGAGCGAACAGG
rnacentral:rRNA from 1 species